rnacentral:rRNA from 1 species
UACGUAUGGUGCAAGCGUUGUCCGGAAUUAUUGGGCGUAAAGAGCUCGUAGGCGGCUUGUCGCGUCGGCUGUGAAAACCCGAGGCUCAACCUCGGGCCUGCAGUCGAUACGGGCAGGCUAGAGUUCGGUAGGGGAGACUGGAAUUCCUGGUGUAGCGUUGAAAUGCGCAGAUAUCAGGAGGAACACCGGUGGCGAAGGCGGGUCUCUGGGCCGAAACUGACGCUGAGGAGCGAAAGCGUGGGGAGCGAACAGG